GACCCUAUGCAGGUUCUACUGUAGUUAGUUAUCACAUUCUCAUAAACUUUGUGUAGCGUAUAAGGUUAAUGUUUGUUUUAAAAACAAAAAGUCGAUAGACACAGUUGAAACACCUUUCUUGGUUUUAUGUUAAUGUUCACCUAAUCUUUUAUGGUUAGGGAUAAAUGACUAAUUGGCAGUUUGUCUGGGGCGGACGUCUUUAAUAGAGUAUCAGAGACAUCCACAAGGUAUGUCUUAAAUUGGAUGGAGACCAAGCAAGCCAUGAACGGUAUAAUAAGGUAUAAUGACUUAAGCAUGCUUAACUGAGAGACCUAUAAGUCAAACAGAUA
rnacentral:rRNA from 1 species